AAAUAAGAUCCCUGAAAGAUGAUCAGGUUGAUAGGUUCGAGGUGGAAGUGUGGCGACACAUGGAGCUGACGAAUACUAAUAGAUCGAAGACUUAACCAAAUA
rnacentral:rRNA from 1 species